rnacentral:rRNA from 1 species
UUUAAAUGGCCGCAGUAUAUUAACUGUGAAAAUAUAGCAUAAUCGUUAGUCUUUUAAUUGAAGGCUGGUAUAAAUGGUUGGAGGAGAUAUUAAAAGGAUAAUUAAAAGGCUAAAAUAAAUUUGAAAGACGAGAAGACCUUAUAAAUCUUUAAAUUUAAGCUAUUAACAUUUUUUUUGAUUUUUUCUGUUAUAAUAGUUUAUAGAAUUUUAUUGGGGUGAUAUUAAAAUUUAAUAAACUUUUAAUUUUUAUUUACAUUAAUUUAUGAAUUAUUGAUCUAUUAUUAAUGAUUAAAAAAUUAAGUUACUUUAGGGAUAACAGCGUCAUUUUUUGAAGAGUUCUUAUCGAUAAAAAAAGAUUGCGACCUCGAUGUUGGAUUAAGAUAUAAUUUUAGGUGUAGGUGCUUACAUUUUAAGUCUGUUUUUCUUACAUGAUCUGAG